rnacentral:rRNA from 1 species
AGAGUUUGAUCAUGGCUCAGAAUGAACGCUGGCGGCACGCUUAACACAUGCAAGUCGAACGAGAUCUUCGGAUCUAGUGGCAGACGGGUGAGUAACGCGUGGGAACCUGCCCAGUAGUAGAGAAUAACUUGGGGAAACUUAAGCUAAUACUUUAUACGUCCUUCGGGAGAAAGCUUUAUGCGCUAUUGGAUGGGCCCGCGUUAGAUUAGUUUGUUGGUGAGGUAAUGGCUCACCAAGGCGACGAUCUAUAGCUGGUCUGAGAGGAUGAUCAGCCACACUGGGACUGAGACACGGCCCAGACUCCUACGGGAGGCAGCAGUGGGGAAUAUUGGACAAUGGGGGCAACCCUGAUCCAGCGAUGCCGCGUGAGUGAUGAAGGCCCUAGGGUUGUAAAACUCUUUCGUCAGGGAAGAUAAUGACGGUACCUGAAGAAGAAGAUCCGGCUAACUCCGUGCCAGCAGCCGCGGUAAUACGGAGGGGUCUAGCGUUAUUCGGAAUUACUGGGCGUAAAGCGAGCGUAGGCGGAUUUGUAAGUUGGAGGUGAAAUCCCAGAGCUUAACUCUGGAACUGCCUUCAAAACUACAUUUCUUGAGUUUGGUAGAGGAGAGUGGAAUUCCUAGUGUAGAGGUGAAAUUCGUAGAUAUUAGGAGGAACACCAGUGGCGAAGGCGACUCUCUGGGCCAAUACUGACGCUGAGGUUCGAAAGCAUGGGUAGCGAACAGGAUUAGAUACCCUGGUAGUCCAUGCAGUAAACGAUGAGUGCUAGAUGUGGGAUUUAAAUUUCCAGUAUCGCAGUAACGCGUUAGCAC